UCAUAGAUAAUGUUACUCAAACUGUUUCUAUCGUUUGAUUAAAUAAUCCUUAUUUUUUGCGUUUGAUUAUUUUCUGUUUACGUUUAAUUUUACCUUUUAUUUUGUUUUCGUGUUCAGUUUAUUCUAUUGAAAUGGUUAAUGACAUAGUGAUUACAUAAAAGACUUGCCAGUUAUCAUCAACUAGGUGACAUAUUAUGGGGGAGAUAACACUUAAUAUAUGGUUGGAAAACUCAUCUCACUGUAAAUAAAUAAAGAUCCUGAAGUGUUAAUAUUGACAAACCUGACAAAAGCUGUCUCUCGGUCAGGCUAUGGCAACAACUUUACAAACUGCUCUAUUUGCCUUUUUAAAUUAUUGGGAAGCGAAAAUUUCAUGCUACAGAUUGGAUUUUUAUUGAUUGAAGAGAUUGACUAUAAAUGAAUCAAUAAGAUGUUGGUGCAUCGGAAAGCUGUUUCAAAGGUUUCCAUCAAUAUGGGCUCGUCUUUAUUAUUAUUUGUUGCCAUUAAUUGAGCAACAUCUUCUAAUAAUGCCAAAAGUGGCCUUGAUUCAGCUAAGUCAUCAACCGUUUCCAGAGGUUCACUUGGUUCUUCAUCUGGUGUGAAUUUUGCUGUUAAUCUUUCUGGUUCAAUUUCAUCUUCUCUAACCAUGGUUUCAUCUGGAUUAUUAUUUUCAUUAUUAUCACCUUUCACCGAUCCAUCGAAUGGCAACCACUGGACGAUACCUUCAGUAAAACCAGGCUUAAUUGGGUUGAAAUAAUUACUUGAUUGAACAUCUUUUAACUGUAAAAUCAAGCCAAAGAUAAAAAAUGAAACAUGAAUAACAGGUUGAUUGAAAUGUCAAUGGUGUUGAUCAAAGUUGCAAGGAUUGUUAAUUGAACUUGCUGCCAACCUCUUUGGAAUCAGGUUCAUGAAAAAAAUAUGUUGGUCCUGGUUUCUUAAUAUCGUAACGGUGUUGCCGAUAAAAGCUCCAACGUCUACCGGGAAAUGAAUUGUCAUCUGAAUCAUCGAAAUCUUGAUUACCUGAUGGUGAAAGGAAAAACAAAAUUAUUAAAUAUUGUUUCAGGCGAGAUGGUGAAGUCUUUGAAAUCUUAUUCAAUCCUGGUUAACCAUACAAGGUUGAAAUGGAAACCCACAAAAAAAUGAUUCAACCUUUCAGAUAAUUUGUCUUGUCAACUUGUCUUACCUAAAAGGUGAUCUGCAUAGCUAAGAGUAGCUAACAGAUAAGUAUAAAGUAAAGGUAACCACAUAAGCCGGAAAUGGAAACAAACAUGUCGAUGGGAUUUCAUGAUGGUCAUUUGAAGUCAAAUGAGGACGAUGGUUAAGAUUAUAUGAAAUGGAUUCAAUGAAAGAUACGAUGAAAGUGUUGAGGAUUAGACUCUGUCUUGGUUGAACCUAGUAACCUUUUUACCAUGAAUACGUCUCACAAUGUCAACAAUCAAACCAGUUGUUGACCAUAAAACUGUUAUCAAUAAUGAUGAUGAUAAUGAUGAAUCAACAUUUAAUAUUGGUGAAAAGCCAAGAAAAGAUGGAUGACUGUGAAGGAAACAAAUGGACUUAUGUUGAUGAAUUGUGACGAUGAAAAGCAACAAUCGGUUAAAUUUUUUUUAACAAACAAUUUUUUAAACAUGAAAAGACAUGAAAACGAGUUGAUUGAUCGACAUUCAGCAUUCAACAAUGAAAUAAUCCAAGAUAUGAAGUAAAUUGAACUGGACCAAAAUUAAUCCAUAAAACAGGGUUUAACUCUUGUAAAAUGAAAAAUAAAAGAAACCAGAAAAAAUGGUUUCCAAAUUGA